ACAAAACACUUACUAUGAAAAUCGUAACAAUUAUUUAUUUUAUAAUAUAAUAGAUGUAAAUAACAAUGAUUCGAAAAGUAUUAACGUAACUGAGUCAUUAGACUUUUUUAAAAAUUUAUUUCUUUUUUAUCCUCCUUUUGAAAUUACAAAACAUAUAAGAUAUAUAAACGAAUUUAUUUUGAAUAAUAUACGAAAUUUAAUUAUUCCUAAUGUUAAGCCAUUUCGAAAUAAUAUUGUUAUAACACUGUUGUCUAAUUUUAAAGCUGAUCAUAAUAUAUUGAAAAAGAUCUUAAUUAAUUUAGAAGGGGUAUUAAAAUGUAUAAACAAUUAUCAUUUUUCAUUUUUAAUAUCUAUAUUUCAUGUGUUAAAUCAUCAAAAUUCGUUUAAAUUAAAUAUAAUAAAAUUUUAUGAAUUGUUAAUAAACAUUCAGAAAAUUUUAAGAACUAAUUUGAAUUUAUCUACAUCUAAUUUUACCUAUACAUCUGAUUUAAAUUUAUUUAAUGAUUUCGUUUAUUAUCAUGAAAAUGAUACACAUAACAUUAUUAACGAUAAUAUAUUAACUGAAUACAAUAAGGAUAUAGAAAAAAAAAGAAAUGAACUUUUACAAGCUGUUUUAGUACAUUAUGGAGAGUAUGACGAAAAAAAAAAAAUGUAUGACAUAGAGUUAUUAAAUAAAAUAUUAAAAAUUGAUAAUGCUAAUGAUAUUAUAGGAAUAAAAAAAAAAACGUACAUAACAUACAGACAUAUAGAGGCAACUAUCGAAAUGGUAACUCCUAAUCCAUCUAGUGAAAUGCCAAAUGAUGGUAUGUUAUUUAACCCAGUCGACCAAAAUGAACAAAGUUUUCAUUUUUUUCAUCCAUUAAAUAAAAAAUCAGAUACUAUAAAAAACGUUUUUGUAACAGCAGAAGUGCAGCAACAUAUUAGAGAUUAUCUUUUAGCAAUUGAUAGAAAAAAAAAAAAAAUUAAUGAAAUAAUAAAAAACAUUAAUAUGCAGUUAUCUUCGUCUGUUCAUAUACUUUCCUUUGUAUCCAACUUCUUGCAGAUAAUUCAGGCCUUGUACAACCAUACCAUCAAUAGCAUAAAACGCAAUUGGCAACUACCCAUCUGUAAACACUUAAUGGUAACAUACGAACAGAAAACAUUUCACGAAAUUAAUGAAAAGCUUUUAUAUAUGCAGAAAUGUUUAUACAACGAAGAGGGCACUGUUGUGACUAAGAAUUAUGUAAAGAAGGAAAAUGAAGAUAUGAAAAAUAAAAAUAAUAUGAAAAAUAAUUUAUCAAGUGAUAAAAUUAAAUCUGAUUACAUAAAUUUAGAAAAAGAAGAAACAAAAAAUAUACUUAAAAGCGUUGAUACUGAAUUAGUAGAAGAAGUAAAAAAAAUAUACACUCAACGAAAUUAUGUUAAUGAUAGUAUUACAUAUAUUACUGGAGCAAGACCAUAUAAUAUAACUAAAAAAAAUGUUAUAAAAUAUGACGUGUUUUUAAAAAAGAAUAAUUUCAUUUUACUUACUGGGGAAAAUAUGAGUGGAAAAACGACAUUAUCUUUUACUAUAUUAUGUAUACUUUUUUUGGCCAACUUGGGUAUGUUUUUAUUACAUGCCUGCAUGUGUUCAUGUUUUACAUUUGUAACACCCGUCCGUGCACGAUUUGUCUAUCUCUAGCUAUCCAUCUAUCUAUAUAUAUAUCUAUCUAUCUAUCUAUCUAUCUCUUUUUUUUUUUUUCUUUUUUUUGAUUUUAUUUCAUACGUUAUCAGGUAUGUACGCACCAUGCAACAAAACAAGUAUCAUAUCAAAAUUUAGAGAAUUUUAUAGCUUGAAGAAUGUAAAUUAUAAAGAACAAAUUGAAAAUAUGUCGUUAUUUAGAGAACAAACUUAUUAUAUAAAUUCGAUAAUAGAAGAAAUAAAAGGACAUUAUUUAAUUGAUAAGAAGCCUUA
rnacentral:lncRNA from 1 species